GGAGUUAGCCGGUGCUUCUUCUGCGAGUAACGUCACAGAUGUAAGGUAUUAACUUACACCCUUUCCUCCUCGCUGAAAGUGCUUUACAACCCGAAGGCCUUCUUCACACACGCGGCAUGGCUGCAUCAGGGUUUCCCCCAUUGUGCAAUAUUCCCCACUGCUGCCUCCCGUAGGAGUCUGGGCCGUGUCUCAGUCCCAGUGUGGCUGAUCAUCCUCUCAGACCAGCUAGGGAUCGUCGCCUAGGUGAGCCUUUACCUCACCUACUAGCUAAUCCCACCUGGGCUUAUCCAUCAGCGCAAGGCCCGAAGGUCCCCUGCUUUCCCCCGUAGGGCGUAUGCGGUAUUAGCAGUCGUUUCCAACUGUUAUCCCCCACAAAUGGGCAAAUUCCCAGGCAUUACUCACCCGUCCGCCGCUCGUCAUCUUCAAAAGCAAGCUUUUGAAAUGUUACCGCUCGACUUGCAUGUGUUAGGCCUGCCGCCAGCGUUCAAUCUGAGCCAGAAUCGAACCUGA
rnacentral:rRNA from 1 species